rnacentral:rRNA from 1 species
AAGAUGAACGCUGGCGGCGUGCUUAACACAUGCAAGUCGAGCGAAGCAGUUAAGUUGAUUUCUUCGGAUUGAUUCUUAACUGACUGAGCGGCGGACGGGUGAGUAACGCGUGGGUGACCUGCCCCAUACCGGGGGAUAACAGCUGGAAACGGCUGCUAAUACCGCAUAAGCGCACAGAGCUGCAUGGCUCGGUGUGAAAAACUCCGGUGGUAUGGGGAUGGGCCCGCGUCUGAUUAGGCAGUUGGCGGGGGUAACGGCCCACCAAACCGACGAUCAGUAGCCGGCCUGAGAGGGCGACCGGCCACAUUGGGACUGAGACACGGCCCAAACUCCUACGGGAGGCAGCAGUGGGGAAUAUUGCACAAUGGGGGAAACCCUGAUGCAGCGACGCCGCGUGAGCGAAGAAGUAUUUCGGUAUGUAAAGCUCUAUCAGCAGGGAAGAUAAUGACGGUACCUGACUAAGAAGCCCCGGCUAACUACGUGCCAGCAGCCGCGGUAAUACGUAGGGGGCAAGCGUUAUCCGGAUUUACUGGGUGUAAAGGGAGCGUAGACAGCAAGGCAAGUCUGAUGUGAAAACCCAGGGCUUAACCCUGGGACUGCAUUGGAAACUGUCUGGCUCGAGUGCCGGAGAGGUAAGCGGAAUUCCUAGUGUAGCGGUGAAAUGCGUAGAUAUUAGGAAGAACACCAGUGGCGAAGGCGGCUUACUGGACGGUAACUGACGUUGAGGCUCGAAAGCGUGGGGAGCAAACAGGAUUAGAUACCCUGGUAGUCCACGCCGUAAG